rnacentral:rRNA from 1 species
AUGUUCAUAUAUCAUCACUGUACCACUUGGUAUACUACGAUCGUAAGCAUCCACGAGAUACACGUAUUUAUACGCGGUAUACUACGAUCUCACAGUCGCGGGAGCGCGCGCGCUAAAGUACCGCGAAAAACCUGCCCCAGCCACUCCUCCUCGCCUCCUCCUCCGCGGCCACCGCCGGCGGCGGCGGCGCAACCGGCGCCUCUCCGAUGCCCCAGAUCCCCUCGAGAACCUGGGCCAGGCUCGCCGGGACGCCGUAGGUGUCGGCCUCGGGCGCCGCGAGCACGGAGUCGAACACCUCCUGGAGGCCGACGACGCGUGGUGACGGGGAUCCGCACGGUUCUGGCGGGCUUGCGCGCGGCGGGGCCGGGGCCGGCUUCGCCGGCGGCGAAGAAGAACUGCGAGGCGGAGCUGUAG